UCGCAUUAGGGAUAGCAGUGAAAAGCCCACAGUGAUGCCAAUGGUAAUUGGUGGCACGAGGACUUGUAGCGUAUAGCCCGACGUUUU
rnacentral:sRNA from 1 species